AUUGAACGCUGGCGGCAGGCUUAACACAUGCAAGUCGAGCGGGGGAAGGUAGCUUGCUACUGGACCUAGCGGCGGACAGGUGAGUAAUGCUUAGGAAUCUGCCUAUUAGUGGGGGACAACAUCUCGAAAGGGAUGCUAAUACCGCAUACGUCCUACGGGAGAAAGCAGGGGAUCUUCGGACCUUGCGCUAAUAGAUGAGCCUAAGUCGGAUUAGCGAGUUGGUGGGGUAAAGGCCUACCAAGGCGACGAUCUGUAGCGGGUCUGAGAGGAUGAUCCGCCACACUGGGACUGAGACACGGCCCAGACUCCUACGGGAGGCAGCAGUGGGGAAUAUUGGACAAUGGGGGGAACCCUGAUCCAGCCAUGCCGCGUGUGUGAAGAAGGCCUUAUGGUUGUAAAGCACUUUAAGCGAGGAGGAGGCUACUUUAGUUAAUACCUAGAGAUAGUGGACGUUACUCGCAGAAUAAGCACCGGCUAACUCUGUGCCAGCCGCCGCCGUAA
rnacentral:rRNA from 1 species